GCGAGGGCAUGGAGAGGGACACAGGAGCAGCUGGAUGAAUUAAGACGGAGAGAACGAGGCCCUGGAGAAGCAGGGCGAAGGUGUGUGUGGGAGCGGUCUGGAGAGGAGCAGAUCCUCUGCAGCCAUUCAGAUAAACAUCUGAGGUGCCGAGAGAGCUGGGUGUGGCCAAGGGAAGGAAGGGCGUGGAUGACAGACAGGCUGAGGUACAGAGGAGACAGGAGCGAGAGUGCACAAACCCAGGACUAUCUUCUCAUUGGCAACCGAAGCUGGGAGGUCUUCAGGUUAUCCAGAAAACCCGGGUCAAAUGUCCUUGGCUGACACCACGACUUCCCCUUGAGAACCUGAAAAAAUGCUGGCCCCAACGUUUCAGAAGGAAGUCAGGGAGUUUUAUAGGGAGAAAGGAGGGCAGAGGGAUCUGAGGCAAAUGCGCACAUCUAGGAUUUAGGAGUGCAGGGUCUGCCUCCAGCCCUUCUGGGCUGUGCUAGUGGUGUGGCCUCACUGGGCUAACGCAGCCGGGGUUUCAUGCAGUUCUGGGAAGUAACAGAGAAGCUAGUGCUAUUUUUGUCAGCAGAGGCACCCACUGGCCAGAAACAAACAAGAAAUGCAGCGUGUAUGUAGGGGGGAAAUGUUAAGGUCAUCAAAUAAGCCACGAUAAUUUCCAUUGACCCUUGGAAAGCAUCUUGACAUUCUUAUUGGAAAGGGGUUGGUCUCUAUACUGGAAUGUGAACCAGACGCACGUGGGUGAACGAGUCUGAUCCUCGUUAGACUUCGGGAUCUCUGGGAUCCGCUUACUGUGCUGAAGUUUCUCACCUAUAGGAAGUGGAUCUAAGGUGAAAAAUACCAAACUCUGCCAAGAAUAUUCCUCUCCUUCCUCUGCUUGGCAAACCCCAAGACCCAGCUCAGAUGCCAACUCCUUCCGUCGGCCGGUGCAAAGUCAGUCACCGCGUCAUCCAUCAGAGCAUUUAUGACACGGCGAUGAAAUAAGUCAUGAAGUGUUCAUCCUCCUGCUACGCUGGGAGCUCUGAGGACAGGCUCCAACUUUGUGUCCCCAGCACUUACCAUAGCACCUGCCACACAGAAGUGCACAGGAGAAGCGAAUUCAGUGGACAGGGAAACAGAAGGCAACCCCCCACCCCCAAAUAUUUGGUUGUGAGGAGGAUCAAGAAAUAAUGAAGGACAGAAAAGCUCCGUAAACCACUGUAUAAAUCUCGGUGAAUGACCGCUGCUCUUGGUUUUCGGGGAGACUGUCUAAUCCCAAAGACAUCACCCUCUAACCUCCCUCGGGUUUCUUAACAGAUUCUGCUUGAUAUGAUUAUCUCGACCACUAACACUUCUUGUCCAGCUGUGCCUUGCUAAGUGAAACAUCAGAACUACUGUUGAAUGAAUCCAGAAGCUUCAGGCUAUUUAAUACUGGUGGAUUCUGCUUUAACUAGGUUAUUGAAUUUGCUAUUUCCUUUAUGAUCUUCUCAUCUGUAUUUACAGGUGUCACUGGUUUAUCAUGGUCAUUUUUUGGCUCUUAUCACCUUCGGGAUUUUUAUACAUGUCUUAA